rnacentral:rRNA from 1 species
CAGUAGCCACGGGAAUACGUAGGGUGCAAGCGUUAAUCGGAUUUACUGGGCGUAAAGCGUGCGUAGGCGGCUUCUUAAGUCGGAUGUGAAAUCCCUGAGCUUAACUUAGGAAUUGCAUUCGAUACUGGGAAGCUAGAGUAUGGGAGAGGAUGGUAGAAUUCCAGGUGUAGCGGUGAAAUGCGUAGAGAUCUGGAGGAAUACCGAUGGCGAAGGCAGCCAUCUGGCCUAAUACUGACGCUGAGGUACGAAAGCAUGGGGAGCAAACAGGAUUAGAUACCCCAGUAGUCCCUGUCUCUUAUAC